UGCAGACAGUGGUUAGUUGACUGUCAGAAGGGUGAGUAGGUUAAUGAUGCUUUGGAUGUACAUUUUCUAUUUGCAGUCUUUGGUAAAAAAUGAAAAUGUAAGACAUUGAAGAAGACAUAAGUGAUGUUUUGGUUUUUGGUAAUACAUAUCACACUUGUAACAUAAAUAUUGGAUACCUUUUUUUUAGGAAAUAUUAAGUGCAUUAGAUAGAGCACAAUUGGUGAAUGUGUUUAUACACAGGGGUCUGGGCAUGCACAGAGUUGUCAGCUUGGAUGAUCUGGGAGAUUUGAUGGAUAUGAGUAAAUUGAUAGAUCAAUUAAGAAUUAUUGUGUGAUUCUAACGAAUCAUUCAUGUCUGCGUUGGAACAGACCGGUCCAGACCAGACCGGUCCAGACCAAACCAGACCAGUCCAGACCUGUCCAGAACAGACCAGUCCAGACCGGUCCAGACCAGACCAGAACACCAUGGCAGAAUCAUGUUAUCUAUCACUGACCCUACUGGUCAUCUUCACCAUCAAAGGUGUACUGGGCCAGAGGAUCAUCGGGGGUCAGGAGGUGAUGCCCUACACCAGGGGUGUCAAACUCAUUCCACGGAGGGCCUAGUGUCUGCAGGUUUUUGUUUUUUCCUUUCAAUAAAGCCCUAGACAACCAGGUGUGGAGAGAUCCUAACUAAUUAGUGAUGUUAAUUCAUCAAUCAAGUACAAGGGAGGAGCGAAAACCCGCAGACACUCGGCCCCCCGUGGAAUGAGUUUGACACCUGUGCCCUACUCUAUAAAAUACCAAGCCUCCGUCCAGUACAACAAAUAUCACUACUGUAGAGGUACCCUCAUACACCCUCAGUGGGUGGUGUCUGCUGCCCACUGCUGGAAACCAUGAGUAGUGCAACUUCAAAUUAAUUUUGUAAAGGUCGGGUUGACCUGCUCAGAUGUUGCAUGCAUCAACCAAUGGUUGCGUGCCACGUCAUAGACCGUGUCAUCGACUAACAGAUUGCUAUAUCAUGUAAUGUGAUUAGCUGAUACUUGAAAUACCUAUCAAGGUAUAUUGUAAAAUGUGGCAUGCGUCAGCCACAAUUGGGCAGAGGAACGCGUCUACAGUCUCUUUCAACAGCCACGGUGUCUGGAGUGCAUUGAGUCUAGCUAAUCUCGACCACCAGCUGGCUCUCUCUCCGAACUUUCUUCGGUCUGGCAAUUGAGGCUACCAAUAGUACUACAUGAUAGGUUAUGAUACCAUCAUAGGAUAGAGUUAGGCAUUUAUAAUGGUACUAGUACUCCCUGUAUGUAGCUUCAUUAUUGUGUAUUUUAUUCAUCUUGUGAGUAGUCGUGUUAUUAUUUUUUAUUAUUCCUUAUUUUUAACAAAUUAAAUUUGAUAUACAUUUUUGUUGUCAUUUAGCAGACACUCUUACAGGAGCAAUUAGUGUUCAGUGACUUGCUCAAGGACAUAUCGGCAGAUUUUUCACUUAAGUCAGUUUCCGGGAUUUGAACCAGCGACCUUUAGGUGACUGGCCCAACGCUCUUAACCGCUAGGCAGCCAUAAUAACAUCUAAUAAAAUGAAAUGUUUUGUUUACUUUGGCAACUUUAAUUAAGCCUUGGUAUACUCUACACUUAGUGCUUCGGUCAGAGCUAUUGUGUACAUUCCAUUUAAUUGAGAGGACAUAAGGCAGACAAAGUUUUCAGUAAAUAUGAAGCACACCAUUAAUAAUAUAAUAUCAAUAAUAUCAGUUACCCCAAUAAAGAACUUCAUUGUCCAUCCAGGAUGGAAAUUGUUCUUUGGCAUCACCUUCACUAAAAGAAUCACAAAAGUAAAUGUAUAAAUAUACUAUAUCCAGCGUCAGAUUUUGAUAUCUGAGUUUAGGUAUUGAAUAUGAAAUCACUGUAGCAAGUUUUCAACAUUAGAACUAUUUACAUAGACGACUGGUAAUUGUGUUAAGGGACGUGCGUAGGUGGUUCUUCUUGGAGGACGUCAAGCUCUAAUCAUCGCUCAUGCAGGGAGGUGGGGUAUGGGGUUUUUAAUUUGAUGUAUUUAUCACUAUCUUGAUGAACUACUGACCUUAAGGUUAGGGUUAAAGGGCAUAUGAUAUAUUCUAUUACCUCACAUGCCAUAAAGUUCCAUAGUAGUGUGCUUUAUUUUUUAUCUCACUAUCGCAUUACCUCUCCUCCCUCUUUCCUCUCUCCCUCCAUCCCUCUAUCAUCAUCUGGAGAGGCCGGCCACCCUCAACGCCAACGCUCAGCCCACCGUCCUGCCUAGUGUGGACACGUCGCCGCUGCAGCAGGGAACAACCUGUAUGGUGAGCAACUAGGGGUUCACGAACAUCUUCAGCUACAACCUGUCCCCGCGACCCGAGCCGUGGACGUCAAUGUCAUCACCAACUCUCAUAUGUAUAUACUGUAUUCUAUUCUAUACUUCUUAGUCUAUGCCGCUCUAAAUUGCUCAUCUAUAUAUUUAUAUAUUCUUAUUCCAUUCCUUUACUUAGAUUUGUGUGUAUUAGGUAGUUGUUGGGGAAUUGUUAGAUUACAUGUUAGAUAUUACUGCACUGUCGGAUCUAGAAGCACAAGCAUUCCGCUACACUGGCAAUAAUAUCUGCUAAACACGUGCAUGUGACCAAUAACAUCUGUUAAACACGUGCAUGUGACCAAUAACAUCUGCUAAACACGUGCAUGUGACCAAUAACAUCUGUUAAACACGUGCAUGUGACCAAUAACAUCUGCUAAACACGUGCAUGUGACCAAUAACAUCUGCUAAACACGUGCAUGUGACCAAUAACAUCUGCUAAACACGUGCAUGUGACCAAUAACAUCUGUUAAACACGUGCAUGUGACCAAUAACAUCUGCUAAACACGUGUAUGUGACCAAUAACAUCUGUUAAACACGUGCAUGUGACCAAUAACAUCUGCUAAACACGUGCAUGUGACCAAUAACAUCUGCUAAACACGUGCAUGUGACCAAUAACAUCUGCUAAACACGUGCAUGUGACCAAUAACAUCUGCUAAACACGUGCAUGUGACCAAUAACAUCUGCUAAACACGUGCAUGUGACCAAUAACAUCUGCUAGCAAAGGGUCUGAAUAGUUAUAUAAAUAAGGUAUUUCUGUUUGUUUUUUUUAAUACAUUUGCAAAAAUGUCCAAAAACCUGUUUUCGCUUUGUCAUUAUGAGGUAUUUUGAUGUCAUUAUGGGGUAUUGUGAUGUCAUUAUGGGGUAUUGUGACGUCAUUAUGGGGUAUUGUGUGUAGAUUGCUGAAUUUUUUAUUUGUAUUUAAUCCAUUUUAGAAUAAAGCUGUAAUGUAACAAAAUGUGGAAAAAGUCAAGGGGUCUGAAUACUUUCCCAAGGCACUGUAUGUGACUUAGUAUGUCUUAGAAAACACUUUAUACAUCCUAUUCAUUUAAUCUGUUGAGAGAUAACAGACAUCAUCUGCAUCCAUCAUCUGCAUGUUUCUAAGGGAGUUUCCCUCUGUGCUUUUCCAUGUCUCUACUAUGGAACAGUAAAACAAUAAAGAUUCAUAUUUUUA